CAGCGACAGGAAACGUCGCUUCAACGUACAGCCGUUUUUACUCUGCAAUAAACGUUUUUCGAUAGACAAAUGUUCUCUUUCGUCUCGGAUAUUCCGAUAUUUUCUCGAGAGGAGCUUCCUCAAGAAACUUUAAAGCAAGGAAUUCGUGCGUGAUAAGAUUUUUGGCUCGUAGCCAUAUCUGUAUACUUGAUCGGAAGAAUAUAAAAAGGUGAAAGGAAACCACCACCGAACACACUCGAAAGAUCAUUUUCUUACAUUAACAUACUCGAAUUAACUUUUCUUGCUUUAACGGCAACAAGUUGUUUUUACAUCUCUCGUCUCUUUUAUUGGAUUAUACUAUACACGCAGAUAUAAUGAUCUUGCAUAAUGCAUUAAGGUCGUUGAAUUUUGUAUUGGUUAUGGCUAAGUGGCAUAAAAGAAAAAAGAGAAUGUGGUAAAUGAAAAAUAUAAAAAAAAUCGAGUUGUGAAUGACCGCCAUUGAGUAAUAUUACACACACACAUACACACACGAAAAAUUGAACAAAGAGUUUAACCGCAAAAACACCGAGUGGUUUUUCACAAUAUUUUUUAAUUUUGCGAUUAUAUUUUGUUUUUCUUUUUCUCUUUUUCUCUCACAUAUACACGCAUACACGUACAUUAUAUUUGCCACUCGCGAUGACGAAGUAGAAAUGUUAAAUCUAUACUUUACCGAUUGUACAAUGGAGGAGCCGACUCGUAAAGCGAAAGCCAUCGCAAUUUUGAAAGAGAGAUUGAUUUUGAUAAAGAAUAAUAAAACGAAAGAGACUACGCGAUUAAGAGGCACGAGGAAAACCGUAGAAACGUUUCACAACGACUGAAAUCUAGAAGCAAUGAAAGGCUCUGAGUUAGCUUGUUAUUAUUAUCUUGAACCGUUACGAUAUCGAAACUCAAUGAAUAUUUAAAAAUAAUAAUAGUGUUACGCAACGAUAAAGAGUAUUUGUACAUGUUUCUCGUAAAGAUAAUUAAUGAUUAUCAUUGAUGUAUUAAUCUGUGUAUGUAUGUAUAUGAAUUUUAACUUAUUUCAAUUCUAUAAGAUUUUUAUAUGCACAUAAUUUUUUAUUAACAAAUGAAUAAUUAUAUUAAAAAACAUAUUGCAGUAUGUAUUUUAACUUUUUAUUUUUUAUUUAAAUUUAUGUUCUGUUUUUUUAUCUCUUUGAGUAUUUCAAAGUAUAGAAAAUAAUAUUCUUUUCGCAUAAAUUUUCGUUUAUGAUAAAUCGAUCGAUUGUAAUUUACCUAUAAGCAUCGAGCAUUAUGAGCACCACUGCUUAAAAUUUAAGAAUGUAAAUAUUUAAAUAUACGAUCGUACAUGAACUCGGUGAAUACUUUACUCCCCUCUCUUCAAAACAUAUCAGUAAAUGACGCAUUUAUUCCCGCCGAUGUGAAAUCUAUUUAAGAAGACGUUCAGUGAUAACGAUUUUUCAUUUUGUCGACGAUUACGACAACGACAACGACAAUGACGACUACGACAUUGACGACGACGAGGCAUUAAUGUAUUAUCGAUCGGCUUUCUUUUUCACAAAAAACGCGCGCGCGCGCGUGUGUGUAUGUGUAUAAAAUAUAUAAAAUAAAAUUUUCACGAUAAUAUCAGUAGUCAUCUAAGUUUUUGUUUUAAAAUCGAGAAUACAAGUUUUCUUCCAUCUUCAUCUUCAUUUCUAGGAACUUUCAUUUAAUUAAUUUCCUUAAUUUGAAUUUUGUCUUGUAAGUUUUACUUACCUGUGUCUUCGAAGAUGAACAUAUACACACAUACAAACAUAUAUAUACAUAUGUAUGUGUCAUAUUAAAAUUGUUUAAACAUUUAUUUGAAAAUCUCUUAAAUUUAAAAGCAGGGAAUUUUGAAUCAUAUUAGUAAUGGACGAUAAAUAAUAUGCUUAAAUGAUAUUUCCUUGUAAUGAUAGUAAAUAAUUCAUUCAAUCGUUCAUUUGUUUAGGUUGGUAUCAUUAUUUCUUUAUUAUGUUAUGUAAGAAAAAAUGUUUGCGAUGAUGACAGAACUGAGAUAAGAAAAAUUAUUAAUAUAAAAUUCAAAAGCUUGACGAAAUUAUUUUGAGAGAUAUUUAACGAAAAAGGUGAAAACUUUGAAACAAAGUGUUUUAUCUAUCUAAACAUUCUUUACUUAAUUAGCUGACUUAUGUGUUUAAUCUAAUGUGCUAAUCCGCAAAGUUAUUGCACGAUACACGCAAUUAAACACGUAACUGUAUAACUUCUUAAUUCUUUUCUUCUUCCUCUUCUUAUUUUAUUUUUUCCAUUUUUGUUUAUUUUUUUUUUGUUUUCUUUUCUUUUAUUGACAAGAUUGCAGAAUUCCAAUAUACAGAUAUAGCGAGAUGUGGAAAUCAAUAUGGA